rnacentral:rRNA from 1 species
UUGGAGGGCAAGUCUGGUGCCAGCAGCCGCGGUAAUUCCAGCUCCAAUAGCGUAUAUUAAAGUUGUUGCAGUUAAAAAGCUCGUAGUUGAAUUUCGGGAUCAGUACGCUGGUCGUGCCUUCGGUAUGAACUGGUGUCACUGGUUCCUCCCUUCUGAAGAACCGUCAUGCCAUUCAGUUGGUGUGGCGGGGAAUCAGGACUGUUACUUUGAAAAAAUUAGAGUGUUUAAAGCAGGCUCGCGCUUGAAUACAUUAGCAUGGAAUAAUGAAAUAGGACGUUUGACCCUAUUUUGUUGGUUUCUAGGAUCGACGUAAUGAUUAAUAGGGAUAGUUGGGGGCAUUAGUAUUCAAUUGUCAGAGGUGAAAUUCUUGGAUUUAUUGAAGACUAACUACUGCGAAAGCAUUUGCCAAGGAUGUUUUCAUUAAUCAAGAACGAAAGUUAGGGGAUCGAAGACGAUCAGAUACCGUCGUAGUCUUAACCAUAAACUAUGCCGACUAGGGAUCGGAUGAUGUUAAUUUUUUAAUGACUCAUUCGGCGCCUUACGGGAAACCAAAGUGUUUGGGUUC